GUCUUUUUGGUAUUAAUUUAAGGUUUAACCUGCCCGAUGAAAAUUUGAAUGGCCGCGGUAUUUUGACUGUGCUAAGGUAGCAUAAUCAUUAGUUUUUUAAUUAAAAGCUGGAAUGAAGGGUUGGAUGAAAAAUUAACUGUCUCUAAUUAAUUUUAUUAGAAUUUUAUUUUUAAGUUAAAAAGCUUAAAUAAGUUUAAAAGACGAGAAGACCCUAUAGAGUUUAAUAUAUUUAAUUUAUUAAUAUUUAGUAUUUAUUUUUUAUAAUUAUAAUAUAUUUUAUUGGGGCGAUUAAAAAAUUUAAUAAACUUUUUUUUUAACUUUAUAUUAAUUAAUAAAUAAAUGAUCCAAAAAUUUUGAUUAUAAGAUAAAUUACCUUAGGGAUAACAGCGUAAUUUUAUUAGAGAGUUCUAAUCGAAAAUAAAGUUUGCGA
rnacentral:rRNA from 1 species